UACAGUGGAGGGGAGGAGAACUGUGAGGCUGCAGGCUCAGCCCAGGGCUGGGGAUAGUCUCGGCUCAAGGCUGGGAGUUGAAUGAAGGUCUGGAGUCUCGGGUCUGGUCUUCCUUUCAGCCACCAAAAAGGGCUCAUUUUGUGCCUUGGGCAGGUCGCCCAGGCAAGGAGGCCACUGACUGCCAUUCUUCAGCAGCUCCUCCCGUCUGCAAGAAGCAUUACCUCAUCGGGAAGCCAUUCCGGAAAAGAGCUGCAGAGCUCCAAGAGUGGGAAUGAAGAGGGCUUUCCAAGAGCCUCCUGGCCACCCAGGAGCCCAACCAGAGCAGACAGCCCAUGCCCGGUGCCUGUCCAGCGAUGGCUGCAGGGAGGUGACAAGGCUGGAUUGGACUGAGCAGGCAGGAGGGACUCUGUCCUGCCUGAAGCCAACAGCUUCCAGGCUUAUCUUCUGAGGCCGGAAGACCAACCAUGUGCAAGGUGGACAUCCAGCACUGCUCCAGUGGAACCUACAGUGUGUCCAGACUUCGUUGGCUCGUCCCGUCAAAUGUCAGUGAGCAGUGUAUGUCAGCUAAUCUUGUGGACCCAAAGCGUGGGAAGUGAGCCCUGACCUGAGAAACUAUGUCCUCACAUGAAGGGACUGUAUUGGUUGAUUUUCUAUUGCAGUGAUAAGAUCCCAUGACCAAGGCAAGUUAUAAAGAAAGCUUUUAAUCGGCCUUACCGUUCCAGAAGGCUAGAUUCCCGGACGAUGGAGCAGAGGCAUGGUGGCAGGAGCACCCGAGAGCUCACACCUCACAACCACAGGCAGGAGGCAGAGAGCACACUGGGAAUGGCACGAUUCUUUUGAAGCUUCAAAACCCACCCCCAGAGAUAUACCUCCAACAAGGCCACACCUCUUCAUCCUUCCCAAACAGUUCCACCAACUGAGAAUGAAGGAUUCAUAUGAGCCCAGAGGCCAUUCACAUUCAAACCACUAUAAGGACCUCUUGCCAUCCCCACGACCAUAGGCUUUGUUGGAUGUGAGGCCCCAGUUCUAGCAGAGAGAUUCAUCUGCCAGGAGGUAGAUUACACAGUCCACUCAUCUGAGGCCUCGACUAUAGCCGUGCAGAGGUGUCUUAUGUGCUCGGUUCCAGUAGAGGUGACAAGAGAUGAGCCUUUGAAUGUACGUAAUCUCAAGUGUCAUGAAGAAAGCACAUGCGCUGAUGUGACAAGGGGUGUCUUGUCUGUCCACUCUGCCUCUUGAUCUCCCUGGCCUUCUUGUGUUUGUGAAGCGUGGGGCAGAAAAACAAGUCAACACAUAGGACGUUGAUCCUGAUUUUCAAGAAGACCUGGGCUUGUGGGCUGGGAACAGUCAGAGUCUCAGAACCAGAACUCAUACCCGGUGUCAAGAUGGUGGCAAUAGGUAUGAGCAGCCAGGGCAGUGACCAUGGGGUCAAAAGUAAUGCCACAGAGAGUUCAGAAUGCCUGAGACAGAGGACCAGGGCCCCACAGCCCUAUGUGAUAAAGGGGCUAGGGCCCUGCUGCUUAGCCAGCAGAUUGGAUCCUCCUGGGAUAGAGGGUCAGGCCUCCACAGCCCUCCUCCAGACUAGCUGAGCUGCUCAUCUGGACUAUGUGUGGGAAAAGUAGUGAUGAGUGUCCAUCAUGACCUCCGGUCUGGUGUCAACAUGGCUACUGUAGCUGCCAGUGACCACCUCCAAGGCACGGUACCUUCUCAAAGGCACAAGCAGGUAUGUCUGUGCCGAGUGUGUAUGUACAGCGUCCAUGAAGGCCAGAAGACGGUGUUGGAUACCCAGGAACUGGAGUUACAGACAGUUGUACGCCCCCCAUGUGCGUACUAAGAAUCAAACUCAGGACCUCUGGAAGAGCAGCAGCCAAUGCCACUGAGCCAUCAGUCCAGUCUCAAGAUUUUUAUCUUUUUGGCUGGUAGACCAGGCUGUCCUCAAACUCAGAGAUACACCUGUUUCUGCCCCCUGAGAGCUAGAUUAAAGGUAUGGGACAUCAUGCCCAAAUCUCAGGAUUUGUUUUUAAGUGUGUGUGUGUGUGUGUGUGUGUGUGUGUGUGUGUGUGUGCAGGUGCCUGACAAGGCCAGAAGAGGAUGUCAUGUUCCCUGGAGCUGGAGUUUUAUAGGCAGUUCUGAGCUACCUACUGUGACUGCUGAGAACCAAACAUGGGUCCUUCUGGAGAACAAUAGAGGCUUUUCCCCCUUUAAUUCUCCAGCCCCCUUUGGUUUUGACGGUUUCUCACCAUGCAGCCCAGACUGCCUCGAAUUCACAACUUUUCAGCUGUUGACUCUGGAGUGCUGGGAUUACAGGCGUGAACCCCACACCCAGCUCCUUCGGGACAAACUGAGCUGUCACUGGACAAACGCCAGUGACAAGAAGUGCGGAGGCAAAGGAGGCCACGCUCCAGGAAAACAACGUCUUGGGUGCAUUGAAAAUACAAAGUAGGUUUGCAGGCACGGCUGUUCCCGUCGCCCCCUGCUGCAGCCAGGGUCAGUUUCACAUCACGGCUGAUGGUGAACCGUGGGCUGUGUCCCCCUCAAGCUAUCAGCCAGCAACGUUCCAAAGGCGGCAAAAAACAUUCAUGGUCUUAGCACUGGAGAGGAAGGAUUGGGACACAAGGGCUCCUCCUGCCUGGAUCCAUGGGCCAGGCUGAAGCGUCAUACGCUGUGAUGGCACUGGUGACAGGUUCAUCUACAGGGAAACGUUUGAGGGUGAGAACUUCAUCUUGAAGCCUUCAGGUCCCGGCACCUUGUCCAUGGCAAACACUGAGCCAGACACAAACAGUCCCCAGUUCUUCUUCAUCUGCAAGGACUGAGUGGCCGGAUGGCAACCGUGUGGGCCCCAGGAAGUUCAAAGAAGAUGUGAGCCUCGUGGAAGCUGUGGAGCACCUGGGGACCUGGAACAGCAGGAGCAGCAAGAAGACCGCCAUUGCUGACUGUAGACGACUCUGAUUCUUGUGCCUAUCCAGCAUCUCCUCAGACUGUUCCUUCUGUAGUGGAAAAGCGUCCCCACCCUACCUGCCCUCUGCACCCUGUAGCAUCUGCUCUCACUGAAAUCCUCUAGGUUCCACAUUUUCCUCGUUCCCCUCCGAUUCUUAACAUUUCCUUGCAAUGUUAGGUUAUGAUUAUGAUUAUGUUAGGUAAUGAUUAUGAAUUAAAAACUAAAUAAAAGAAAGAGAAAGGAAAUUGAAAAUACCAAGCGGAGUUCCUGGUAAGGAUGCAGUGGGGAAAGCCGGUAUAGGCUUUCCCCCUUCAACAGGAGUGUGAUUUAGUCCGAAUCCUCCUGAAAUGGCCACCUAGCUAGGGUGGUUGCCGCUGACUGUCCCAGGGAUUGUGGAUUCUGUUGGUUACUUUGAAAACAGUGGCAAGUGUCAUAUGCCACACUCAUAAUAGAGGAUCUCCAGCGGCACCCGCCCUC